UCUGGUGUUCUUUCUGAAUGAUGGAAUUAUCAUUCAUUAUAUGAUAACUCUGUUGAACUAUCUGAUGAUGGUUGGGUUGACCAAGCCAUCCUCGGGUCUGAUCACUUAUUAGGUAGAAUCACUAAGUAGGUUCAUGUUAAUGGUUUGACCUAACCAAAAUUUUUAGUGAAGGCCCAUCGCCUACUAAAAUGAAAUAUGAGGCUAAAUUAAUAACUAGAAGUUGU
rnacentral:lncRNA from 1 species